CCCAGGUCCGCCCGAACCUCGAACCAGACGUAACUUUCUCUCCCGUGAUUCUCAAAAGAAAAAAUGAGAGGAGCUGCGCGAGGGGGCGGCUGAGUCCGUCGAGCAGGCGGCGUGGCGGCACCCUCCGGCCAUAGUCCUCGUCAGCUUCGCCGACGACGCCUCCUCGCUGACGCCUUGCUGGAGACAAUCGAACUCCGCUCCAUGGCCGGCACGCACCCUUGGCCUGGCGUGGUCGACCACGUCUGCUCCCGCCCUCUCGCCGGCAGCUUCUCCCUCGGCCGCGUCGCUGACCUCGCUGCCACCGUGCCCAGCGACAUCGGCCAAUCCCGUCACCGCCUUGCUGCGCAUGUACUUGCCGCCGCAGACGCCACCUGGUAUGUCGGUCAUGCUUCCGCUGAAUGUUUGCUGGAGGAAUCGAUGGUCUUUGUUUUCUGUAUGCUCGUGUUUUUCCUUGUCUUGCGAUCAGAUUUGAAGCUGCUAUCACAACUGGCGUAGUUAAUUGUAUUAGCCAUGAGAAAUAUCAUGUUGGAUCAAGUUGACCUGCACCUGUUUGAUGGAAUGCCCGUAAGUGUCUUUUUUAGUAUACUGCAGGUUUCUUCUUUAUUUCCUUCUCUGCAAGCUUUUAUUGUCUGCACAAGUAUUUAAUUUGAUGCCACUGUUUUAGCUUAUGAAAAAAUUGCAUAGUUGAGUUGGCCUGACCGUAUCCUCUGUUUGACUGUCCUGUUUCGAGCUCAUCUGUAUUUUUUUAUUUGGAGCAGAAUUCCAGCGUGAGGGGCCUUGCAGCGGCAAGGAGAAUUUUAUUGCAGGUUGAUCAGAAUCUAAUUUCUGGUGCUAUUAUGUUAGCACAAAGUUGCAGCUUGUUACUAGAAGUGGCAAGAAGAAUACAAGUUUUAUUGUUGUCCCUUUUCUUGGCUCGGGACCGUUUGAACUUUGAAGUGCUAGCCUGAUAUAAUAUACUCCGUACUAAUUUUAUAUUGCAGAUAUUAAAUCAAAAUGCUUGUUUGCUUCUCCAGUCAAUAUGUACUUGUUUAAAGUUCGCAACAAGGUAUGUCAAUUUGUGAACUGCAAAUAAACAUUUAUGAUGUUCUUUUUUGUCCAUCUGCUUUUACGGAUGCCCUUGUUAUGCAGCUGCUCUUAUGGUAGUUGGAACUGGAAGUAUUCGAGUAAUAGUAAAUUUUUGCUGCACUGUGUUGCUCAUAGUGACUUAGUGAAUAAACUAGAGAAAAUCCUAUUAAUAUGUGAUCUGGAGCUACAAAGGUUUUGCACGAAAAUAACAAGCGGCAGUGGUUAACAACUAUCUUACUGAGUCUCUCGUUGCCCUGGGUUUUACAAGACAUUCUCAAUGGUAUUGUUUGGUAUCGCAACCUGAUUUAUUUGGUACUUUUGGCAAUUUAAAUGAUAGGAUGACUGAAGUCCUUCUUUGCAUGCUUAGGCACCACCCUGCAGCUUGUGUGCUACUGCCCAUGAUUCCACCUGUUAAUAGAAUCUUUGGAUUUCCACUGGUUUUUACAAUGUUUAGAUUAUUAAGAAUCCACUGGUUUUUUCAAUGUUUGGAUGAUCGCGAAACUGGACACAAGAGGUUUUUAGGUUGCUUAUGUUGUGCAGCAUUUUUGGAUCUUCCUUUUCAUUUAUCUGGUCAAUCUGGUGACUGAGUACAAGCAACAGAAAAGGAACUAACUACCUGAAUCCAUAGACAUCAACUAAAUAAACUAGUUAUUCACAGAGCACAGGCCUGCAGCUACUGACACUGAAAACCAACAAUGCCAUGACAUGAACAGUACUGAUGCUACAUGGCUGUUUUUAGCCGCUGAGGUCCAACUGAGCAAGGGGUGUGCUUGGAUGCUCUGAUAUCAUUAAUGUUGGAUUCACCUUCGAAUCAGAUUGUGUGAUUUACCUCUUUACCUGAAUGUCUACUGAUUGUCUUCGAUCUUUGUAUAUAUGAAUCUUUCCCUAGGAUUUAUGAUGAAUAUACUGAUGAAAGAGAUAAUUUGCAAAUAUAAGCUAGCAGAUUGCUCUGAGAUGAUUGCAAUGUCCAUUUUUAUUACUUUUACAUGAUACUGACAUUGAACGGACUAGUGAUUUGGCUUUGAAGACAUGCUUUCUACAGGCCAGUAUGUCUGAGUAUUAGGUUUCAUUUCAGGACAUGAUUGAUAUUGCUGUGAGUAUGUGUUGAUAAAAAAACGAGUCACACAGCCUUCAAUAAAUUGUCAAACUUGAUUGUGUCUGGUUACUGCAGUAAUUUGUGUUCGUCAGCUGGUCUUUAUAUAACUACUUUCUUCUGUAGGACUUUGAGGAAGGCAGUGGACUUAAAAAGGUUGCUCAGCUUUUGAAGGAUGUGCAAGUAGAAGAGCAUGUUGAAAUGUGGGGAGUUUGUACUGCUGCUUAUCGGACAUGUUUACGUGAAGGAAAACACUCCUAUUCACAAACAAAUGAAAAAUCUAUUUGGGGAGCAGUGUGUCGGUCAUAUGGGCCGCGAGUCAGUUUGGAUCCACCCUCGGCUCGGAGCAGAGGCAGAUGGCCCUGGAAAUACAAGCAAGGAGAGUUGUCAAGUCUUCAGAGCCCUACUAGGAAAAUGUCACCAAUUUGUUAUGCAUGCUUCGCUAUUUUCCAGGAUGACAGUGCAAAACCUUGCGUGCUCAUCCUGCUCAUCGCAAAGCCUCCGGUCUUUCUUUUUCUGUGUAAAGCCAGUCUUGCGUUCGCUGUUUGUAUAAACUUCUUUGAAAAUAUUGUACGAAUAUUUGUUUCAGCUUUGUUGAAAAUGCCAUUCUUAGCUUUAUUUGAA